GUGCUCGCUUCAGCAGCACAUAUGCUAAAAUUGGAAGGAUACAGAGAAGAUUAGCAUGGCCUCUACACAAGGAUGACAUGCAAAUUCGUGAAGUGUUCCAUAUUUUU
ensembl:snRNA U6 U6 spliceosomal RNA